CCCUUAGAUGUUCUGGGCGGCCCGCGCACUACACUGGCACUCUCAAUCAGAGCCUGGAUCUAACACUUUGGGGUAUUCUAUGAAGUGGUGUCGUGACUGGGAUUAACCCUUGCAAUUAUUGGUUACGAACGAGGAAUUCCUUGUAAUCGCGGUUUAUCAGCCCGCGUUGAAUGCGUCCCUGCCCUUUGUACACACCGCCCGUCGCUCCUACCGAUGGAUCGUCCGGUGAAGCUCAUGGAGGGGCGAUUGUCUCAGCUGCCGUCGAAGUGAAAUGGACCUCACGAUCUAGAGGAAGGAGAAGUCGUAACA
rnacentral:rRNA from 1 species